rnacentral:rRNA from 1 species
UACGUAGGUGGCAAGCGUUGUUCGGAAUUAUUGGGCGUAAAGGGCGCGUAGGCGGUUUGUUAAGUCGGCUGUGAAAGCCCGGGGCUCAACCCCGGAGGGUCAGCCGAUACUGGCAGACUAGAGUACGGAAGAGGUAGCUGGAAUUCUCGGUGUAGCGGUGAAAUGCGUAGAUAUCGAGAGGAACACCUGCGGCGAAGGCGGGUAGCUGGGCCGACACUGACGCUGAGGCGCGAAAGCCAGGGGAGCGAACGGG